UACGUAGGGUGCAAGCGUUACUCGGAAUUACUGGGCGUAAAGCGUGCGCAGGCGGUUGUGCAAGACCGAUGUGAAAUCCCCGGGCUCAACCUGGGAACUGCAUUUGUGACUGCACGGCUGGAGUGCGGCAGAGGGGGAUGGAAUUCCGCGUGUAGCAGUGAAAUGCGUAGAUAUGCGGAGGAACACCGAUGGCGAAGGCAAUCCCCUGGGCCUGCACUGACGCUCAUGCACGAAAGCGUGGGGAGCAAACAGG
rnacentral:rRNA from 1 species